rnacentral:lncRNA from 1 species
GAGCACUUGACUCCAUGGGCAGGAUCUUGCAGGGGAAGCAGUGACCAGGUUCUGCAGAGAGCAGGACGAGUGCUGGUGACAGUGGUGAAGAGGCAGAGUUAGUGUCUCCCAUAGAAAAUGGCCUGGCAAGAGUGCGAGUGGCAGGAGAAACAGAGCCAUUUGUGUCAAGGGCCGCGUAAAGAGCAGUGGGCCAGCUAUCCAGGUUUGGGCAAAAUAGCAAGAAUGCAAGCGUAUGAGUUGAAGAAAGAAGAGGAAGAAGAUGGACAUGCAUAGGCCAUCUCUGCUCUUCUCUAGAAAUCCUCUCACAUUAAAGGAAAAGAUAAAUAAAGAGGGACAGUGACAAGUGUCCGGGCAGUGAUAUGUGUUAGCAUCAUCAUUGAGUCUAGUGCCUGUGAACUUGUGACUCCACUGAAAAACAAAGUCAUGUUGAGUUUAUGGGUCUUAAUUCACCCAGCUAGAUAAUGGUAAAAGCUUUGGUAAUUGAAUUGAAUCCUUUCUUGUAACUUUAAUGAACACUCAAAGAGAGAUUUCCCCUCUAUCUUUGUCAUGCAUGCAAGCUUUGGGAUGCUCUUCCCAACUACAGGUUAAGAAAUGCAGCAUCUUGACACCUUCAUACCCAAAGCCAAGACUGGUGUUUCUUUCAGACGGGCCCCCAAAAAGCAAUGUAAAAAAUUUGACUAAAUGCUUUCUAGAACCUUCCCCUUUGACUAAGAAUAAAAUGUUGGUGAUUGCUUCUAUUCCAUAGAUGGAAAACCAAGAAACAGAAUUAUACUUUAUUCAUCAUGGUAUAACAUUUUAUCCUUAGUGGGUGAGGCUCUUGUUCACCCUGAAGUAGUAGGCUAUUCAUGGCUAACCAGUGUAUCAGUGGUACAACUAAGAUGAUUAGAUAUUACAAGUGGAAGCCUGAAGGGAUCGUCCCUAAACUGACAUCCAACCCAUAAAUCACACCAUUGCUCAUAUAGAGCAACUGCUCAUGGAGACCAAGAUAACACCCAGAUCCUACUAGUUAAGAUGCCUGGCACUCAUGCUCUGGGGAAGAAUAUGAAGAGGAUGCUCCUACUGCCAAUGACUGAAACACAUACAGACUGUAAGUCAAUGAAACAGUGCGCUGCUUCUCCUCUGAUAGGCUGAUUCUUAAUUAAUCUACCCAUCAAUCAAGAAUAAUGUACCAAGUGAUGGGUCUUACAGUGGAACUCUGCUGUGGAGGCUCCAAAUACUUGUAUUGUGUGGCUCUAUGUCUGGAGACCUCAUUAUAUCAAACAAAACUCAAACUACAGAAACCAGAAAUGUGUGUGAAGGGAGGCCUUGAAAACC